rnacentral:lncRNA from 1 species
CAAAGUUGCUGCGCUCGAGGAGCCGCCUGGCUGCGGGCGGUGCUUGGGAGAGGGCCCGUCGGUCCAGCCCGGGUGCCCGGCCUCAGCUCUCCGCCGCGCCCCCACCCACACGCCCGGGGCCGCCAAGCCGCCGCGCUCAGGUGAGCACAUGCCACUCACGCUUGUUCGGGACACCUGAGGACACGCACAACCGGCAUCCCGGUGCCCUUUGCUGAUCGCACCACCGCGGCCGCCAAGCCUGCAGGAACACCGCGAGGAACCAGCCGGUGCUCACCCGGUCUCCGCUGCCGCUGCCGCUGCCGCCCGCGCCCGUACACGCGCCGCACUCCCACGUGGUCGGCUGCGCCAGGUCCCUGGCGCACACACCCUAAGGCGCGCUCACCCCUGAGCAGCUCGCGGCCACAAAACCUGCCUGGGACAGGGGCUGGCGGGGGAACAGGACGACCGCUCCCGGUUCUUGGAGUCUCUGCCCCGUCUUUCCCUUUCCUUCCAGGGCUUAAACCUGGGGACGCACAACCCCACUUCCUGCCUCACAAAUGUAUGUGUGUGGGGGUCAGUGGAGGGUGGGGUGUCAGAGGAAGCACCUAGGUCUCCCAUUACUUAUGGCCCACCCCCGCCAACCCCAAGAGCCAGGCCAGAGGGACGUCGGUGAAGGCAGCCUCUAGGACAGGGUGGUCCCUGCCUUGCUCCCCUGAACCCCCAGGGGGUAAAAUAAGUGGUAUGAGUGUGGGUGGAUUUUUCUGCCUGCGUGUGUGAAGGUCUCCAUGCUUGUGUGUGGCCCAGUGGCCCCCCACCCUGCCCACCCCCGUGUCUGGCACCCUGUGCCUAGCAUCCAUGCCAGGGCUCUGCCAGGCACUGGGAGUUGGUGCCAGUACCUGGCUGCAGGCUUGAUGCUGAGAGCAGUAGGUGUAGCCCUCGACAGAGGGGUCCCUGCUUCCCGUGGGCUUCCAGGCCGUGCUCAGUGCCUCAUCCCUGCCCUCCCAAGAUCCUGGGAGGUUGUGGACUCCCUGUCACACUUCCUAGCCCUGUUGCUCAUUCUCUCUUAGGUGCCCAGGCUCUGCCAGGGUUUCAGGGCAAUGCCUCCUCCAAAGCCCUCUCUGCCACCAGACACAGCCCCCUGGUGAGCCAGGGAAAUCUCAGGGGAGGCUGGGAGCCAGACCCACCUAAAGGGAGAGUCUCUGGGUGGAGGACCAAUUUGCCCUGAGCCACUCCUGUGCCUCCACCUAUCCCUCCUCCUAAGGACAGAUGACAGGCAAGCCCCAGACCUGGGAGGCAGGACUUGAAUGAGGAGGGUGUGUGUGCCUGACCUUGGGUACAUGACCUUGUGUGCCUGUGUUUGUAAGCACUUGUGUCCAUGGGACUCUGUGGCUUGUCCAGGCCAUUUGGUUGUGUCACUCCCUAUGCCAUGACCCUGUGUGUGCAAGUGAGUACAUUUGUGUGCAUUGUGUGUGUUUCUGGUAACUCUCUGUCCUUCGGUCUGGGUCAUCCUGCCUCUAGAAACUCAGGGAAACAUUCCUUUUCCAAAGUCACUGAUUCCUGUUGCGGUGAAUGUAUGGCCCAGGCUUGGAGGCAGACACAGCACCCCUGGCCUGACUUCCUGAUUUGAGCUGUAGAGAUUGGAUUGGCCAGACCCCCCAGCUUUAGCCACCACACCAAGAGUCUGGCUGUGGUUUCUCCAGCCUCAGUCCAUUGGAGUCUUCCCCUUGGAGUGAGGAAGGGAGUAGAAGCUGAGAUGAGGGUCCUGGGGAGCCUUCAAGGUCAAGGCAACACAGAUAGAACCAGCACUUGCUAAAGCAGGAGUUGAAGAGUAGGGGGAUGGGGCAGGAAGGCAAGAUAAGGAAAGAGGCAGAAGCAGGGUCCUACACUGUCCUGGGAAGGAACCGUGAAGGCCACCAUGGGGACAGACUUGCCAGGAGGCGAUGUUGGGAUUUGCGUUUGGCUGAAGAGUAUAACAUGGUUAGGAUGAGGAAGGGGGUGUUUCCAGCUCAGCUUCUGGAACCUCGUGCCACCUCAGGCAGAGCCAUUAGUCUUAUGGGAUUUGGGUCUUGGUGGGACUGGACCAUCUGCCACAUUUUUAUAUAAACUCCCCCUGCCCAUUCAUCCCACUUCCUAGUCCAAGCCUCCUCCUUCCCAGGACCUAUGCUCCAGCUCCUGUGGCCUCCUCAACCACUGACCCCUUAUCCCUUAUUAGGUGGAGACGUUCUAGAAGUACAAGGUGGUUAGGGCAGUCAUUGCUGGCAGAAGCUGGCCCAGCCCUGUCUGAGGCCUGUUGCCAAGUCGUGCCUGCCUAGGGGCAGAAAACCAGCCUCUGCUAGAAGCAGGAGUCUAGGCUGUCAGGGGCCUCCAGGGAAGAGAAGCGGAGAGGGGCAGUGGGCAGGAGCCUCAACAGAUAAAGCAGGGCCUGGCAGGGCAGAGGAAUGAAGGGUGACCAGGAGCAGAGCACCUGAGCCACUCGGCCCCUAAGCCCUCAGCCCACAGCCUCCCUUAGUCCUUUGUCCCAGCCUCCAACCCGCCUUGGUCAGAAACCUGGUUAACCAAACCCUUAGCACGCCCCAGGCUCUGGAGGACAAAGGGGUGGGCAGGCGGGCUCUGGUCUCCUCCAGCGGAGUCCAGCAGCUCACUGGUACCCUCUGCUGGCCGUGUAGGGAGAGCACGGCUCUGAAGGAGCUAAAGACCAGGUAACCCACCGGCUGCUGGGUUGAGGAGAGGGGAACAGAUGUCUACAGUAGGGGGUACCAAGUGGCAGACUCCAGGAGCCCUCUCGCUCUGUCCUCUGACUGUACUUGGGUUCCUGGAGCAGAGCACUCAGCACUGACUUGUCACCUCCUCUUCCCUCUGCAGCUAAGAGGCUGCAGAUUCCCAAGGAGCCCCUGCCCUGCACUCUGCUUCACGCCUUCACCCCCACCAUGCCUCCUCUUGGCAGAAUGGCAGAGGGUCCCUCUUCCUGCCAGUGGCCAGGGUCCUAGACCCCAUUGCUCCCUGUCCUCAAAGACAACAAACUUGUAUUGAGUUCCUACUGCAUGCCAGGCCCUGUGCUGGGCACCACAGAUAUAGCAACUGACUACUGGCCCCAGCAGCAAGUGUACUGGCGCUAGCCUCACCCAUUGGGAACCUCAAGCCCGUAUCCCUUUCCACAAGCAUCUCUCUUGUGGCUGGGCGUGGUGGCUCACGCCUGUAAUCCCAGCACUUUGGAAGGCCAAGGCAGGCGGAUCACCUAAGGUCAGGAGUUCGAGACCAGCCUGGCCAACAUGGCGAAACCCUGCCUCUACUAAAAAUCCAAAAAUUAGCCAGGUAUGGUGAUGCAUGCCUGUAGUCCCAGCUACUCAUGAGACUGAGGCAGGAGAAUCUCUUGAAUGUGGGAGGCGGAGAUUGCAGUGAGCCGAGAUUGUACUACUCACCGCACCCCAGCCUGCGUGACAGAGCAAGACUCUGUUUCAAAAAAAAAAAAAAAAAAAAAAAAAAAGCAUCUCUCUUGUGUUUUCUCCUACUGUUUUCAGCUGCAUUUCUCUAAAGUUGUCCAUAAUCACCAUCACCACUCUCCCCUCCCAGCCUUUGCCUGGGACCAGCUCCCAAUCGUAACCCCCUAGUCCCCAAAUCCCAUAGACUCAUCUCUGGCUUCAGCUAAUUUGGCCUCUUCAAAGCCUCGGCCCUGCUGACCUCUCUUUCCUGCCCCAAGCCCUGUCUCCCUUGGGUGCCUGCGAAGCCACGGCUGCCGGGUUUCCUCCGACCUCACUGCCUCUCCUUCUCAGCCUCCUUCUCCAGCUUCUCUUCCUUGUGGGUGAAGCUCUGGCUGUAGAGGCCUCACCCUCGGCCCUCCCCACACCAUGAGCUCAUCUUUCUACUCACAUGCUGGCGACCUCCCUGCUUGCUUUCUGGCCAAGCUCUCCCUUUUGACCACAGGCCCACAUGUCCAGCUGCCCCUGGACACUUCCCUUGGACACACAUAGGCCCCUCAGCCUCAGCAUGUCUAAAGCUGGUCCUGGCAGCCAUCGUGCCCCACCACAUCCUCAAUCUUCAUGCCAUGCACUGGCCUCCAAAUCUCUUGCUGUGUCCCAAGCCCUGGGUUGGGUGCAGAUACCUCAUCAUAGCCUUUGUAGUAGUUGUCAUUAUCACCAUUUUACAUUCAAGGGAACUGAGGCUUCCAGAGGUGAAGGGAAUUGCUCAAGCUCUCAAGUUCCACUUGCGUUGGAGUCUUGGACCAGCCCCAAGAUUCAAACUCAGGUGUACCUGAACCCAAAGUCUGGGCUCUUGAGAACUGUGUUAAUACGGGGCUGUGUUGGUCACCUGUGGCAUCUUAGACUUCAUCCUGAGGGCAAAGGAGAGCUUGGAAUGGUUUUGAGCAAAUGAGACCCCCAUCCCAGGUGGACAGGAAAUGGAUCUGGGGAAGAGUGGAGGCUGACUAAAUUAUUAUUAUCACUCUUAAAUUUUAUUAUGAUUAUUACUUUAUUAUUAUUAUUAUUACUUUUAGUUAGAGAUGGAGUCUUGCUCUGUCACCCAGGCUGGAGUACAGUGGCACAAUCACGGCUCACUGCAGCCUUGAACUCCUGGGCUCAGGCGAUCCUGCCAUCUCAGGCCUCCGUAGUAGCUGGGACUACAGGCACUCACCACCACACCUGGCUAUUGUUUUUUAAAUUUUUUGUAGAGACAGGGGUCUCACUAUGUUGCCCAGGCUGGUCUUGAACUGCUGGCUUCAAGUGAUUCUUGAGGCUGGGAGUCUUGUUCCUGCAUCCAGAUGAGGGACGGAGCAGAGGUCUGUUCAAACAAACUGAGCUUGAGGCACCCCUGAACAUGCAAAGGCUGAGCCCCAAGGCAGGUGGAAGCCUGUGGGCUCCAGCAUGUUGCUCCUGUAGCGUGGGAGCCCUGGAGGUUGCCGACUCCCCUCUGAUUACCCUAGGCAUGAACUGAACUCGCCCCUGCCUCCACCAUUUUUCAGAGCUAUCCCAUCUGGGCUGGGCACCUGGAAACCAGGCCCUUCAGUUACGGAACUGAAGGAAACCUCCCCUCCAGUUACCAGAGAGGGAGGCAGUAAGACACAGAAAGCCAGGAGCAUCACUUGUGUUUUCAGCCUGUGUCUGGCACCCUCCUCCGAACUUUUACUGUCUCCAGGAUUAAAGGCAGAUGUUUGGGGAUUAGGGUCCUUGAGUUUGGGAAACAGAGAGAGUAUGUUCUGCAGGGCUUUCUGGACCAGUCCCAGGCGGAAAGCAAGCCUCAGCUGAGAGCAUUUGGAGGGAGAGCUUGACUGACUCUGGAUGAAAUCCUUCUAGGAUCCGUCUUGUAUCCUCCAGUGUGGUUGUGUGUUUGUGGCAUGCCAGUCCUUGUGCUUAGCUUGCUUGGUCUUUAUUUUAUUUACUAUCCUCACGUCAUCACUAUGAAGUAGGUACUAUCAUUAUCCUUAUCCUAUACAUAAGGAUAAGGCUACCGACCUUUUGCUAUUUGCUGCUCGAUUAAAAACAAGUCUCCCA